rnacentral:miRNA from 1 species
ACAUGUACCGUCGCUCUGGGAU